rnacentral:rRNA from 1 species
UUAAGUUAUUAAGGGCGCACGGUGGAUGCCUUGGCACUAGAAGCCGAUGAAGGACGUUACUAACGACGAUAUGCUUUGGGGAGCUGUAAGUAAGCUUUGAUCCAGAGAUUUCCGAAUGGGGAAACCCAGCAUGAGUUAUGUCAUGUUAUCGAUAUGUGAAUACAUAGCAUAUUAGAAGGCACACCCGGAGAACUGAAACAUCUUAGUACCCGGAGGAAGAGAAAGAAAAUUCGAUUCCCUUAGUAGCGGCGAGCGAAACGGGAAGAGCCCAAACCAACAAGCUUGCUUGUUGGGGUUGUAGGACACUCUAUACGGAGUUACAAAGGACGACAUUAGACGAAUCAUCUGGAAAGAUGAAUCAAAGAAGGUAAUAAUCCUGUAGUCGAAAAUGUUGUCUCUCUUGAGUGGAUCCUGAGUACGACGGAGCACGUGAAAUUCCGUCGGAAUCUGGGAGGACCAUCUCCUAAGGCUAAAUACUCUCUAGUGACCGAUAGUGAACCAGUACCGUGAGGGAAAGGUGAAAAGCACCCCGGAAGGGGAGUGAAAUAGAACCUGAAACCGUGUGCUUACAAGUAGUCAGAGCCCGUUAAUGGGUGAUGGCGUGCCUUUUGUAGAAUGAACCGGCGAGUUACGAUUUGAUGCAAGGUUAAGCAGUAAAUGUGGAGCCGUAGCGAAAGCGAGUCUGAAUAGGGCGUUUAGUAUUUGGUCGUAGACCCGAAACCAGGUGAUCUACCCUUGGUCAGGUUGAAGUUCAGGUAACACUGAAUGGAGGACCGAACCGACUUACGUUGAAAAGUGAGCGGAUGAACUGAGGGUAGCGGAGAAAUUCCAAUCGAACCUGGAGAUAGCUGGUUCUCUCCGAAAUAGCUUUAGGGCUAGCCUCAAGUGAUGAUUAUUGGAGGUAGAGCACUGUUUGGACGAGGGGCCCCUCUCGGGUUACCGAAUUCAGACAAACUCCGAAUGCCAAUUAAUUUAACUUGGGAGUCAGAACAUGGGUGAUAAGGUCCGUGUUCGAAAGGGAAACAGCCCAGACCACCAGCUAAGGUCCCAAAAUAUAUGUUAAGUGGAAAAGGAUGUGGCGUUGCCCAGACAACUAGGAUGUUGGCUUAGAAGCAGCCAUCAUUUAAAGAGUGCGUAAUAGCUCACUAGUCGAGUGACACUGCGCCGAAAAUGUACCGGGGCUAAACAUAUUACCGAAGCUGUGGAUUGUCCUUUGGACAAUGGUAGGAGAGCGUUCUAAGGGCGUUGAAGCAUGAUCGUAAGGACAUGUGGAGCGCUUAGAAGUGAGAAUGCCGGUGUGAGUAGCGAAAGACGGGUGAGAAUCCCGUCCACCGAUUGACUAAGGUUUCCAGAGGAAGGCUCGUCCGCUCUGGGUUAGUCGGGUCCUAAGCUGAGGCCGACAGGCGUAGGCGAUGGAUAACAGGUUGAUAUUCCUGUACCACCUAUAAUCGUUUUAAUCGAUGGGGGACGCAGUAGGAUAGGCGAAGCGUGCGAUUGGAUUGCACGUCUAAGCAGUAAGGCUGAGUAUUAGGCAAAUCCGGUACUCGUUAAGGCUGAGCUGUGAUGGGGAGAAGACAUUGUGUCUUCGAGUCGUUGAUUUCACACUGCCGAGAAAAGCCUCUAGAUAGAAAAUAGGUGCCCGUACCGCAAACCGACACAGGUAGUCAAGAUGAGAAUUCUAAGGUGAGCGAGCGAACUCUCGUUAAGGAACUCGGCAAAAUGACCCCGUAACUUCGGGAGAAGGGGUGCUCUUUAGGGUUAACGCCCAGAAGAGCCGCAGUGAAUAGGCCCAAGCGACUGUUUAUCAAAAACACAGGUCUCUGCUAAACCGUAAGGUGAUGUAUAGGGGCUGACGCCUGCCCGGUGCUGGAAGGUUAAGAGGAGUGGUUAGCUUCUGCGAAGCUACGAAUCGAAGCCCCAGUAAACGGCGGCCGUAACUAUAACGGUCCUAAGGUAGCGAAAUUCCUUGUCGGGUAAGUUCCGACCCGCACGAAAGGCGUAACGAUUUGGGCACUGUCUCAACGAGAGACUCGGUGAAAUCAUAGUACCUGUGAAGAUGCAGGUUACCCGCGACAGGACGGAAAGACCCCGUGGAGCUUUACUGUAGCCUGAUAUUGAAAUUCGGCACAGCUUGUACAGGAUAGGUAGGAGCCUUUGAAACGUGAGCGCUAGCUUACGUGGAGGCGCUGGUGGGAUACUACCCUAGCUGUGUUGGCUUUCUAACCCGCACCACUUAUCGUGGUGGGAGACAGUGUCAGGCGGGCAGUUUGACUGGGGCGGUCGCCUCCUAAAAGGUAACGGAGGCGCUCAAAGGUUCCCUCAGAAUGGUUGGAAAUCAUUCAUAGAGUGUAAAGGCAUAAGGGAGCUUGACUGCGAGACCUACAAGUCGAGCAGGGUCGAAAGACGGACUUAGUGAUCCGGUGGUUCCGCAUGGAAGGGCCAUCGCUCAACGGAUAAAAGCUACCCCGGGAUAACAGGCUUAUCUCCCCCAAGAGUUCACAUCGACGGGGAGGUUUGGCACCUCGAUGUCGGCUCAUCGCAUCCUGGGGCUGUAGUCGGUCCCAAGGGUUGGGCUGUUCGCCCAUUAAAGCGGUACGCGAGCUGGGUUCAGAACGUCGUGAGACAGUUCGGUCCCUAUCCGUCGUGGGCGUAGGAAAUUUGAGAGGAGCUGUCCUUAGUACGAGAGGACCGGGAUGGACAUACCUCUGGUGUACCAGUUGUCGUGCCAACGGCAUAGCUGGGUAGCUAUGUGUGGACGGGAUAAGUGCUGAAAGCAUCUAAGCAUGAAGCCCCCUCAAGAUGAGAUUUCCCAACUUCGGUUAUAAGAUCCCUCAAAGAUGAUGAGGUUAAUAGGUUCGAGGUGGAAGCAUGGUGACAUGUGGAGCUGACGAAUACUAAUCGAUCGAAGACUUAAUCAA